GUUUGAUUCAUGGCUCAGAACGAACGCUGGCGGCAGGCCUAACACAUGCAAGUCGAGCGCUACCUUCGGGUGGAGCGGCGGACGGGUUAGUAACGCGUGGGAACAUACCCUUUUCUACGGAAUAGCCUCGGGAAACUGAGAGUAAUACCGUAUAAGCCCUUCGGGGGAAAGAUUUAUCGGGAAAGGAUUGGCCCGCGUUAGAUUAGAUAGUUGGUGGGGUAAUGGCCUACCAAGUCUACGAUCUAUAGCUGGUUUUAGAGGAUGAUCAGCAACACUGGGACUGAGACACGGCCCAGACUCCUACGGGAGGCAGCAGUGGGGAAUCUUAGACAAUGGGCGCAAGCCUGAUCUAGCCAUGCCGCGUGUGUGAUGAAGGUCUUAGGAUCGUAAAGCACUUUCGCCAGGGAUGAUAAUGACAGUACCUGGUAAAGAAACCCCGGCUAACUCCGUGCCAGCAGCCGCGGUAAUACGGAGGGGGUUAGCGUUGUUCGGAAUUACUGGGCGUAAAGCGUACGUAGGCGGAUCAGAAAGUAUAGGGUGAAAUCCCAGGGCUCAACCCUGGAACUGCCUUAUAAACUCCUGGUCUUGAGUUCGAGAGAGGUGAGUGGAAUUCCAAGUGUAGAGGUGAAAUUCGUAGAUAUUUGGAGGAACACCAGUGGCGAAGGCGGCUCACUGGCUCGAUACUGACGCUGAGGUACGAAAGUGUGGGGAGCAAACAGGAUUAGAUACCCUGGUAGUCCACACCGUAAACGAUGAAUGCCAGUCGUCGGGCAGUAUACUGUUCGGUGACACACC
rnacentral:rRNA from 2 species